AUCCUGAUAAUACUUGUUCUAUGAACUUUGGAAAAGCUGCUCUUGCUUAUGUUAGACCUGAUAAGCCUUUUUCUGUUCAUCAAAGGUUAUAUAUAUUUACUAUUAUGCAACAAUAUGUCAUUUAUUUGAGUAGACCUUUUUUUUUUUUUUUUUUUUUUACUAUAAGUAGUGAAGUAGUACUUGAUUUUUUUAAUUUAUGUCGCGGUUCUUUGAUAUUAGAAAGAAUCGCGAUUGUAUGUGGUCUAAUUAUAGUUUAUAAAGAGUGACAUCUUUAAUUCCUUUUAUAAGGAUGAAUUCGGUCCAACAUAAAAGCUUAACAUGGUAUUAGAGUCUGCUUUUGAUCCAGAGACAUGUGUAUUAUGUUACAGUUCAAAUUACUGUUGCAUACUUUUUUUAUUGGAAAAAUUGAUGUUGCUGACCAAAUUGAAGGAGAUUAGUACUCGGAAAAAUUUGCUUGCGCCAAUAACAUGGUUGUUACAAAAUUAUAAUAUUUUUUUAAAUGUUAUUAGUGCUAAGAGAUGGUAUUUUAUUUGCAGGUUGUUCUGUGGGCUUGAUGACAUAUACUGUUUGUUCUUGGGGAGUUUGAACAAUUUAUCCUUACUGAACAAGCAAUAUGGUUUGUCAAAGGGAACUGAUGAAGCCAUGUUUCUGAUUGAAGCUUAU
rnacentral:lncRNA from 1 species